GGGGGAGUAGCUCAGAUGGUUAGAGUGCUUGCUUGACAUGCAAGAGGUCUCCGGUUCAAAUCCGGGCUUCCCCACCA
rnacentral:tRNA from 1 species